rnacentral:piRNA from 1 species
UCACCUGUUGGUAGACGGAUGGUGUAUUA